CCAAAAAUAUCUCCCUCGUCAGCCCUUCUCUCUCCCUCGUCUCUUCUUAUCCCCUCCUCUUCUCCAUGCCGCCGCCUCUGCUUUCCGCCUCCCUCUCGGCCUCAAGCGUCGGCGCCGGCGUGGGAUGGAAGGGGCCGCCACCUUUCCCGAUCUGGAGAGGGAGGAACAUACACGGCCACAUGUACCAGCGCCGUCGGGGAUGCUUCUUCGUCGUCGUCGAUGGUAUGAGAGUAGCAGCAACGUUGCAGGCACGGCGAGCAGCAGCCACAGCAGGUUGUGGUGCUGACGAAGGGAUGGUCCAUGGCGCCCUCGUCGUCGACGUAGGCAGAAGGGCAAGCCAAGAUGAACCUCUCCCAUUAUCUAGGAAGUUCGUCAUGGAAGAUGCGGAAGAAAAAUCCAUGCAGGGGUCGGCUUUGGCGGUGUCUGAUGCUGGCAUAUCAUGUGAUUAGACCAUAGGAAGCUGACAUGGCAUUCGAAACUCUGGUAGUCCUGCUCAGUGACUAGAUGAUGCGCCUCGUGUCACCCCCAGUGUUGAAGGGCUUGAUAGCAGUGCUCACGGAUGUGCAGGUCUGAGAAAAAACAGCAUGAGUACGCUAUGAUUGUUUCUAGGUGGUUGCUGAUGAAUCAUGUGAGGAUGGCGUGGAACUCGCCAGAGGGACAAUACUGAACUGCAGUAACCAAAUCAAGCAACUGAGAAGGUGUGGGGUUCUGAUGGUUCUGGUGGGUGGUUGCAGCUAUGAGGCUGAGCUAAUCGAAUUCUACGCACGACAAGAUUUUACACGUAAGAUGUUCUUGUGAUGAGGGUCUGUAGUAUAUAGGUUGGUCAGGUCCUGAUGGAUUGAGAAGGUAAAUAGAUCUCUUCUUGUGAUUGAUUUCUUUGUGCUUUUGAGUCGAUGGGUUUAAGAGGUGAUCAUGGUUGUUGAUUUUAUUUCCAGUGUGGUUGAUCUUGGUUUCAGACACAAUCAUGCCUUAUAAGCCUUGUGUCGUGUGUUCAUGCAACUAAUUAUAUGCUUAUAUUCUUUAGAUAUGGAAGUCUUCGUACUCAUUGCCAGUUUCAUUAGUUCUGAAGUUUCAUGGUAAAAUAGUUUUGGGCUAAAAAGAGUCUCGGGCUUGAUGUUUAGUUUGAUAUAAUCUUUUUUGCAGCUUCGCAGCCCAGUACAUGUUUGAAUUUUGGUACACGGUGGAUUAUCCAUUUUUACUAUGUGUUUUCUCAAAAUUUAUUUCAAAAAACUGUGAAGCAUAUGAUACGCUGGUCCUGUGGAACAUUCAUGUAUUAGGCUUGUCUUAAUAACACCAUCUGCUCAUUGUUAAUGUGUGCGCCACCCAAUGGUUGCUCCUGCCUAAUUAUAUGGACGAUGGCAGUAGACAUGCUUGCUAUAUGGGUUACCAGCUUGUUGUUUUUAUGCAUCUUCUCAUGGUUUAUUUUUCCCCUUGUAGCCCACUGAUUUCGUCUAUAACAUGCUGGUAGGUUCUUCGUUCAACUGGAUUGUAGGUUACUUUCUGUGCUCUCGUCACCUUGUUUGCCAAGUGCUUUUCGUCUGCUGCUCUACUUACCAAGGUUUGCGCUUGCUCACCUGAACCCCCUAUUACUCUCAAUUAUUCUGUUUCAGUUUCACAUUCUCUGGCUACUACACUAAACACGUGUAUUUCACCCUACUACUCUUUGUUGUGCCUACUUCAAUUUUGCAUGUUUAAAUAUUUGUGGUCUGGUCACGUGUAUUGCAUAUGUUUCAGCAUUUGAGUUUCACAGUUUUCAAAUGUUUAGCUGGACACGUGUAUCACCGAUGACACUUAUGUGGGUGCUUAUUUUUUAUUUUAUUUUUUUGGUAUGUUUUACUGGUGACAUAUAUUUCACAUAUCUCACUCAGUUUAGUGUCCGCCACAUAAUUAAUAUUUGUGAUUUUGGUAUGUACUAGGUUUUUUUUAGGGAAUGGUAUGUACUAGCUUUGAUUUGGCUGAUUUCAAGUCAGAAACAUGAGUGGGCUGAUGUAUUAUGCUUGACCAUGGGAAGGCAGUGUUUUCUAUGGUACAAUUGGUGUGGUGGUAUAAGUUCACUGCAUGGUUGGUAGGUUCACUGCUGCAUUUGGUUUAUGGAUUCCUUGACUUCUGGGCCGUCGCGUGUAGUCGCGCGUCGCCGCGUGCGAGUCUCGGCUCGCCUUGCUCUGUUCCAUGGCAAUAUUUCCAAAUUAUUACAUGAAUUGCUCUAAAAUAACAAGCUUUCGACAUCCUAUGCUUUUUCUACGAGUUGUUGGUUCUUAGUCAACCAUAAAUUCUUCCACGAUAGUGUGGCACAUUCUCCGACUUUAUUCCUGUGUGUUCCAAAAGAGGAAAAACGGUUUUGUUUUUCUCCCAACGUGUUCUGGAAGAGAAAUAGGAAUUCCAAAACUAAUAGCUCUCUUAGUGUGAUAUGGAGAUGGUUUAUUCCAUGGAACAGUUGUCACUACUUUUUGCAAAAAUAAUUCUUGAGGCUCAAGACAUUGGUUAUGUUAAAGGUUUAGGUGCUUGGAGAUUAUUUGCUGAUAAAUCUACUGUUGUUUCCUUCUAACUAUCUGCUGCUAUUUCUCAGUUAUCGUUCUAAUAUAUCUACUAAACAGGAUUUGAGAAUGCUCGCUUAUUUAGUAAGAAUUUCCUCUUUCUUUCACUGGAGCUUUUUUUGUUCAUUAUUGAUGCAGUUUCAUAUUUUUAGGUGGUUGUCGAUGGUGUCUGGAAUAGAUGGAAACAAGUUUCAGCAAGUAAUGUGGUGGCGUAGUCAAUUUUCUAUCUGAUUAUGAUCUUAUUUUCCAGGGUUAUAGUGCGAGUAAACCAUACAACCAAAUGAUUUUUCCAAAAAUUCAAAAUUUGCAUUUGCACAUGUACAAGAGCUUCAUAGAUUGUUUAGACUUGGUGUUCCAAGACAAAUGGCUGAAUUGUAUACUACAAAGAUAAUGGAACACCUACUUUCACCUAUAUGGGUUUAAUGAUAGAGAACUGCUACAAUAGAUGGAGCGCCUACUUUCACUAAUAUGGGUUUGAUUAUAGAUAACUGGUACAACUGUUGCCAUGUUUUCCAUUGCCUAAAAUAUGCUUGGAAUAUCAUAUCAGGUUAACCUUGAAAACAAGAGAAAUGGUGGUAUUUCUACACUAGGUAUCAAUCUACUGGAAAUGCACUCUUCAUUAACUGAGUUUUAUGUUUGUUCUUGCUAUCUUCCAGCUCCAUGAUACAACGUUUUGGAAAAAAACUAUCCAAUGAAGAUGAUGCAUGACGAGCAGCAGGUGACGCUCCCUAAAACCUGCGUUGCUCUUUUGUCACUGGUACAGUACUGCAUAAAUGGAUUUGAGGACCAAAUGCAAACAUUGGAAGGAAGUUUGCAGGCCCGUUGAUGAGGAAGGCCAAAUUGGCUGAUCGCACAGGGCCCCAAAAAUUUGGGGGCCCCCAGUCCAGCAGUCGAAAGGGCAGUAGAGGUCGACGGCGGUUGAGUGCCUGGUCGACGGCGGCAGAGCCAGAGCCACAGAGGCAUCGAGCAGGCAGGGCGACGCCAUGUACGCGACUAUGUGGCCGCCGACCGGCCACGCCCUAGCGCACAUCAUCCCUUCCCUUGCUAGGAAGGAAUCAUGCAUCCGGAAAGGAGGUAUGAUUCUGGUGCUUCAAAACGAAGGAAUAAACAAAAACUAGAUACUUGGUUUCUAAAACUAGAAGGAAUCAUGCAUCCAGUGGUUUGUAUGCUAGGUCUUGCCUACCAGCAGGAGAUAAAGAACUGAACCACAGACCAGGACUAUCCAUAUGAUGUAUGGCUGCCUAUAUAGCUUGCUUGCUAAAACUAAUGUAAAUAAGCUAUCGUGAAAUGAGCUCAUAACUUUAUUUUGGGCUAUCAUGCUGCCAUGCAAUGUAAUAUAUAGUGCUAUGUCUGAACAUGGUACCCAUGUAUAUUUCCUUGUGCUAUCCAUGUGUCUUCCAUUCUUGCUAUUGAUUAUUUCUGCCUUGCUUUGUUUGUCAAUAUUCGCUUCACUUUUCUGUCUUCCUUAUCUGUUAUCUGUUAUUACUAUUCUACCCAAUCUGUCAUGAAGUUCUUAGCUGAAGUAGGAUAAUUGUAUUUUGGCUUAAUGCUAUAAUUUCUAAAUAUUUGAAUGAUGGGUGAGCUCACUAUAUGACAGAUUCUACACUCAAGUCUAUGUUACCCUUAUCCAUGCAUCUCAUCGAAAGAGACGGAGAAUUUCUAUUGUUUUGACAUAAUCCAGUUAUAUCCUGAAGUGUUUUUCUCCCAGAUUGUCACUGGUAUGAGCAAUUCACACCUACAGAUCCAGGAGCCAUGUUUUGGUACUCAUCUUCUUCAAGAAUGAUGUUGUCUUCAUCAAUUUGGAAGGAAUAGAACCCAUUUGUUCUGAACCAAAUCAAGAUCUUAAUGAAAGUAUCUGGGUAUAUUAUUCAACUGAUGGAGUCAAGGAGUUUUACUAAUUUAUUGUACCGCACUUGCUUACAAUGUCUUCCUCUAUUUUAUAGGCAACCUCAAACCUUUGUUAUUCUCAAUUUUCUUGUUAUCUAAUAAACAAUGCUUGCUUA